rnacentral:rRNA from 1 species
AUUGAACGCUGGCGGCAGGCCUAACACAUGCAAGUCGAGCGGAUGAAGGGAGCUUGCUCCUGGAUUCAGCGGCGGACGGGUGAGUAAUGCCUAGGAAUCUGCCUGGCAGUGGGGGAUAACGUCCGGAAACGGGCGCUAAUACCAUAUACGUCCAGAGGGAGAAAGAGGGGGAUCUUUAGACCUCAUGCUAUCAGAUGUGCCUAGGUCGGAUUAGCUAGUUGGUGAGGUAAAGGCCUAAUAAGGCGACGAACCGUAACUGAUCUGAGAGGAUGAUCAGUAACACUGGAACUGAGACACGGUCCAGAAUCCUACGGGAGGCAGCAGUGGGGAAUAUUAGGCAAUGGGCGAAAGCCUGAACCAGCCAUGCCGCGUGUGGGAGGAAGGUCUUCGGAUUGUAAAGCACUUUUAGUUGGGAAGAAGGACUGUCUAUUAAAACCUUGCUGUAUUGACGCUACCUACACAAUAAGCCACGGCUAACUUCGUG